UUCUGCGAGUCUUCAUCCGUUGAAAACGCUGCAAUAUUUGCUCAUUUUCAAUUGUUGCAAAAAUAUCCUUCUCGAUGGGAUUGCAGGAAAAAAAAAAAAAAAAGCACAGUCGGAAGAUGGACCUCUGCUCUUACCUACCACCGUAAUAUAAUGGAUUAGGAUUCCCAGCAGCAGUUACUUUGGGGCAGCUUCAGAGCUUUGCCAAGUUUAUUUGCUACAAAUUUUUUAAAAACUUUAAUUAUAGUAAUCUCAAAAAUUUCUCAAAAUUUUUAAACUACACACUUCAAAAUAUUCAAAAAUUUACGCACUUCAAAAUUUUUUAAAAAAACUUCUAUAGUAAGAUACAGUAAAGUUUUAGACAAAAAUCCAAAAAACUCACUUGCCAAACCGGGGCAACAUUCGUAGCAGCACUUUUGUGAAGAGAAUAAAUGUUUGUUUAAUUCCAACGGCACCACUCGUGACUUCUUGAGGCAGCAACA
rnacentral:lncRNA from 1 species